UUCAUAACUAAAUAGCCAGCUAUAUAAACAAACAUUUCUCUUUUUCCCUUGACACAUAAAAUUUGAAAUUUUUGUAGGUAUAGUUUAUCGUGGACUGUGCUAAUCUGGCCCCAUGAACUCUUAUUUCUACAAGUAUCUGAACUAAGCUAAGCUUCUCAGCCGUGACUCCACCAAUGAAGCGGAUGCAUUUGCCAGUUAUCCAACCCUGAUCCUUUUGAACACAAGCUUCCUUUGUGGCUGUCAUGAUGCUUUCCAGACAGUAUGCUGAUUCACCAAGAUGUGAAAACUCCUCCGAUUCUAGAUACGAUGAUGGAAGAGGGCCACCAGGAAACACCCCAGAAGAAUGGGUCAAAUUAAUCAUCUGUAGGGCACUAGUCUUCCUCCAAAGACUGGUGGAUGAGGAAGGUAAAUUUCUUCUCUAAGAAGCAGACAACUGGACAUUGUGCACUCAUAGCAGAAGGAAACCAUCAAGAAGUAGAGGACUGACCAUGCUGGACAAGUGAUUGAAUGUGUACACCUCAACAAGGAUUGCUCUGUGUCCUCACAGAUGAGUGAGGUCGUGCCAGGACUUCCUUCCCCAGGGAUCUGGCCUAACUGACAUGCAGUUCUGUAAAUGCACCUUUGUCUCAUUAUCUUUUUGUAUAGUUUGUGAAAGUAUUAACAUAGUUUUAUAAAGUAAAUAUUUUUAGGCUACAAAACUUGAC
rnacentral:lncRNA from 1 species